GACGAACGCUGGCGGCGUGCUUAACACAUGCAAGUCGAACGGAAAGGCCCUGCUUUUGGGGGGUGCUCGAGUGGCGAACGGGUGAGUAACACGUGAGUAACCUGCCCUUGACUUUGGGAAACUUCAGGAAACUGGGGCGAAUACCGGGUAGGAGCCCCCGGCGCAAGGUGGGGGUUGGGAAGUUUCGGCGGUUGGGGAUGGACUCGCGGCUUAUCCGCUUGUUGGUGGGGUAGUGGCUUACCCAGGCUUUGACGGGUAGGCGGCCUGAGAGGGUGACCGGCCACAUUGGGACUGAGAUACGGCCCAGACUCCUACGGGAGGCAGCAGUGGGGAAUAUUGCACAAUGGGCGGAAGCCUGAUGCAGCAACGCCGCGUGCGGGAUGACGGCCUUCGGGUUGUAAACCGCUUUCGCCUGUGACGAAGCGUGAGUGACGGUAAUGGGUAAAGAAGCACCGGCUAACUACGUG
rnacentral:rRNA from 1 species